GAUGAAGAACGUAGCGAAAUGCGAUAAGUAGUGUGAAUUGCAGAAUUCAGUGAAUCAUCGAAUCUUUGAACGCACAUUGCGCCCUUUGGUAUUCCUUAGGGCAUGCCUGUUCGAGCGUCAUUUAAACCUUCAAGCUCAGCUUGGUGUUGGGUGACUGUCCGCCGCCUCCGGGCGCGUGGACUCGCCUCAAAAUUAUUGGCGGCCGGUACAUUGGCUUCGAGCGCAGCAGAAACGCGAACUCGGGCCCGUCGUAUUGGCUCCCAGAAGCUAUCUUCACAAUUUUGACCUCGCAUCAGGUAGGGAUACCCGCUGAACUUAAGCAUAUCAAUAAGCGGAGGA
rnacentral:misc_RNA from 1 species